rnacentral:misc_RNA from 1 species
AACGCACAUUGCGCCCCUUGGUAUUCCGGGGGGCAUGCCUGUUCGAGCGUCAUUACAACCCUCAAGCUCUGCUUGGUCUUGGGCGUCACCGGUCCCCGGUGUGCCUUAAAAUCAGUGGCGGCGCCACCUGGCUCUAAGCGUAGUACAUCCUCUCGCUACAGACGCCCGGCGGAUGCUGGCCAGCAACCCCCCCAUCUAUCAAGGUUGACCUCGGAUCAGGUAGGGAUACCCGCUGAACUUAA